rnacentral:rRNA from 1 species
UGAGGAAUAUUGGUCAAUGGGCGAGAGCCUGAACCAGCCAAGUAGCGUGCAGGAUGACGGCCCUAUGGGUUGUAAACUGCUUUUAUAUGGGAAUAAAGUGAGGGACGUGUCCCUUAUUGCAUGUACCAUACGAAUAAGGACCGGCUAAUUCCGUGCCAGCAGCCGCGGUAAUACGGAAGGUUCGGGCGUUAUCCGGAUUUAUUGGGUUUAAAGGGAGCGUAGGCCGUUUGGUAAGCGUGUUGUGAAAUGUAGGAGCUCAACUUCUAGAUUGCAGCGCGAUCUGUCAGACUUGAGUGCGCACAACGUAGGCGGAAUUCAUGGUGUAGCGGUGGAAUGCUUAGAUAUCAUGAAGAACUCCGAUUGCGAAGGCAGCUUACGGGAGCGCAACUGACGCUGAAGCUCGAAGGUGCGGGUAUCGAACAGG